rnacentral:rRNA from 1 species
ACAGCUCAAAUUUGAAAUCUGGCUCUCUCAGGGUCCGAGUUGUAAUUUGUAGAAGAUGCUUUGGGUGUAGCUCCGGUCUAAGUUCCUUGGAACAGGACGUCAUAGAGGGUGAGAAUCCCGUACGUGACUGGGUGCUUUCGCUCGUGUAAAGCUCUUUCGACGAGUCGAGUUGUUUGGGAAUGCAGCUCAAAAUGGGUGGUAAAUUUCAUCUAAAGCUAAAUACCGGCCAGAGACCGAUA